AUUGGGCAUUGGAGCUGCAGGCCACAAGGUGCCUCAGUUCUUUUCCUCAGGCAAGGGAGAAGGAAACCAAGGAAAACAACCCAAGCCAUGAUUGCUAGUCUACUUCCUGAGUGGUGGAACUCACUCAGCCAAUGAGAAGCUAUGUGGAAUGACACAAAGCGGUGGACUUCUUCCCAGCGCUUCUUGUGGGCAAUAUUUUUGGGACGGUUGCUUCCAUUCAAAUUGCAGUUCAAACCUGAUGUAUAGUCACUUCUACUCUCAGGGUCAAAUGAGGCAGAGAGGAAAGCUAAAAAAAAGUCUGGGGUUUAAAUUAGAGUCCGUUUUUAACUUUUCAAAAUGUUCUUGGUAUUUUAGAAUCUGGAUAACCUUCAAUCAGACAAUGCUACAUACCAGACCAAGGAGUAACAGUCUAUAAGAUUAUAAUUGAAACAGCUUCAGAACCACGCAUCGUAUCUUCAGUUGUAUGAACUUAGAGUCUCUUGAUAGCUUUAUUCCAUCACCCAUAAGAUACGGGCUCACUUACUACCAGAUGUGACUGGGCAAUUUUCUUAGGCUUCUCAAGGGUUAAACCGUUGAAUGCUGUCCUGUUAAACAAAACAUUUCUAAGGCUCUCCCCAGGGAUUCUGAGGCAGGGCACCCGGAAUGGGCCUUGAACCUGUGUUCUCAAUAUGAGCUUUGGAAAUGUCGCAGUGACAGAGAAAAUAGCCUUUGCUUUCAGGAGCAGACAGCUCUCGGCUUACAUCCUUGGAUUUUCAUUUCCUGUUCGUGUGGUCCUACACAGAUAACUUGACCUUUCUCAGUUUCAUCUGGAAGAAGCAGCGAUAAGAAAUGUUCUCCUGAAAGUCCUGAGAGGAUCAAAAUGACUCUUUGUAACCCUGAUUUCCUCAGGACUGUUAGGCCACUUCUUCCUGUCUGGGCCGAUCUGAUGAUUAGUGUCAGAAGUACUUAACACAGGAGCAUAACACCUCCUAGUCACCCCUGACACACAUAUGUGGGGUAGUCUGAACAAAUGUUAUCCUUUAAAGGACACAGGGCUGUUGGAGCCCCCAGGAGUACCUCCCUGUUACAGUGGUCUGUCCGUGUGGCACCUCCAGGCCUUUGACAAGGUGUUCCCAGUAACCUCAGCUAACGUCCCUUCACUUUCUGGCUUCCUGCUGUGCCAUUAUACUUAAUUCUACCAGAAAUUCCAUUUUUCUUUCUUUUUCUCUCUCUCUGUGUGUGCAUGUGUGCACAUGCUUGUGUGCAUGUUUGUGCAUGUUUGUGCAUGUGUCCUCUUGCAUGCAGAAACCAGGGAACCACCUCAACUCUUUCCAUAAACACUGCCCACUGUGGUUUUGGAGACAAAGUCUUUGACUUGGCCUGAAAUCCUCCAAGGAGGCUAGGGUGGCUGGGUUAUUAGCCUCAGGGCUCCCUCUGUUUCCACCUCCCCAGUGCUGGAUUCCAAGUGUGCCCCAGCUCUUUUAUGUGGGUGCUGUUGGUAGAUUCAGGUUCUUGUGCUUGGACAGCAAAUGCUUUACUGGAAAGAACAAUUUCCCAGCCUCAGAAAUUCCAGUUUUCUUGAAACCACUCCUGCAUUUAUAUUCUUCUUCAGCAGAAAUAUGCAAUAAAAUGAUUCUACUUGAUUUUCCACAGAAAACGCUCUAACUACUUUGUGCUAUGCAGAUUUCCCUUCCUGGACCUCCAAAUCCUUCAUGAUUAUUUUCCUCCCAUCCUAAUAGAAUUCAAUAGAAUUUUUUAUAACUGCACUUACACUUUCUUUAUAUAUAACUCUUCUUCAAGAGGAUGUAAAACACACGUUAAAGACAAAGCUAUGUGAGAUAUGUUAAAAGAAACUUUAGGAGUUGAAAAUAAAGGUGAAGAAAACAUAGUCUUUUCAUAAAUGAAGUUGUUUAUCAAACACACGUUGUAUAGUUCUUUAUAGUUCUCAGCAGUGAGCUAAAUAUCUAGUUCAGAACCCUCUGGGGUCAAAAGAUAAACUUGAUGAGCCUCAAGCCGAUAACUAGGAAACCUCAAACCUUAAACAUGGUUUUACCUUUCCCACUGACCCAGAAUGUUGGGUUUUCAUCCACAUCAGAAUCAUUAAAGUCAUGAGGCCCGUGCUCUCAUCUGAUGCUGUGGGUGAAAGGACAUGCUGCAGAGGGCAUGGUAGCUGGGCACAGGAGCUGGGCCAAGGACAAGCUGAUGCUCUGGCCCAAAGCAGUAGCCAUGGCAACAGAAGUGAUGGCUGCCCCACUCCCUCCAGCCAUGAUGCCCGUAAGAGGCAUUGGCAGAGGGAGCCAGUUGUGCUUCUGAGCUAGGCUCUUGCCAAGGGAAGCUUAUGUAACUUUUAAGCAUAAUCGCUAGGACAGAAAAUUUGCAAACCUCUUUUAUGUUAUCCUCAAAGAUCCAAAUCCACACAGAGAAGGCAAGUGUCCAGUCGUCCAGGCUGGCCAAGUCCAGGUGUGAGUCCCUCGCACAGGCAACCUGUAGCCUGCCUCAGAUUCCCCCUCUUCCUCUCUACUUCUGAGUAACAGUGCUGCCCAGGAGGAAGGAGCCCAAAGGAGGAUGUGUGCUUUUGGAAGCACCAUUCACUUCAAACAAACCUUCACUUCUCAAAGAGAUGAAGCCCGCAUAGGGAUAACAACACCCGCUGGGUCCUGGAGAUGCAAGGUGGCUUUUGAUUCAGACACUGACUGAUGAGUUUUCUGAAUGAAGGAGACAACAAGAACAAAGGAGCAGGGCCACUGGGAAGGCAAGGGACUGGAAGAGGAUGGGCUUGAAAGCAGGUAACACAAAGCUGCCCUUGCUGCUGGGAUGGUCAUGUGACUAGGACCUGACUUCAGCCAAAGUUCAGCGAGGAAAUGAAAUGAGAACUGACGAGGCAUCUAUCAGCCUUCAGGAACUCCAGCCCCAGAAAGACUUACAUGGUCACGAGCCAGUGUUCCACUGAGUUCUAGUCCAGUGACUUUGGGACUCUGAAUGAGCCUUG